GAGUUUGAUCAUGGCUCAGGACGAACGCUGGCGGCGUGCUUAACACAUGCAAGUCGAACGGUGAAGGGGUCUGCUUUUGUGGGUCCUGGAUGAGUGGCGAACGGGUGAGUAACACGUGAGUAACCUGCCCCCUUCUUCUGGAUAACCGCAUGAAAGUGUGGCUAAUACGGGAUAUUCUGUGCCUGCUGCAUGGUGGGUGUGGGAAAGAUUGCGCCUUUGGGUGUUUUUGGUGGGGGAUGGGCUCGCGGCCUAUCAGCUUGUUGGUGGGGUGAUGGCCCACCAAGGCGGUGACGGGUAGCCGGCCUGAGAGGGUGGACGGUCACACUGGGACUGAGACACGGCCCAGACUCCUACGGGAGGCAGCAGUGGGGAAUAUUGCACAAUGGGCGCAAGCCUGAUGCAGCGACGCCGCGUGAGGGAUGGAGGCCUUCGGGUUGUAAACCUCUUUCGCCAGUGAAGCAGGCCUGUCCCUUGGUGGGUGGGUUGACGGUAGCUGGAUAAGAAGCGCCGGCUAACUACGUGCCAGCAGCCGCGGUAAUACGUAGGGCGCGAGCGUUGUCCGGAAUUAUUGGGCGUAAAGAGCUCGUAGGCGGCUGGUCGCGUCUGUCGUGAAAUCCUCUGGCUUAACUGGGGGCUUGCGGUGGGUACGGGCCGGCUUGAGUGCGGUAGGGGAGACUGGAACUCCUGGUGUAGCGGUGGAAUGCGCAGAUAUCAGGAAGAACACCGGUGGCGAAGGCGGGUCUCUGGGCCGUUACUGACGCUGAGGAGCGAAAGCGUGGGGAGCGAACAGGAUUAGAUACCCUGGUAGUCCACGCCGUAAACGUUGGGCACUAGGUGUGGGGGGCCUUUUCCGGGUUUUCCGCGCCGUAGCUAACGCAUUAAGUGCCCCGCCUGGGGAGUACGGCCGCAAGGCUAAAACUCAAAGGAAUUGACGGGGGCCCGCACAAGCGGCGGAGCAUGCGGAUUAAUUCGAUGCAACGCGAAGAACCUUACCAAGGCUUGACGUGUGCCGCUCGCCCCCCCCCCCGGGGUUUCCUCCUUGUGGGGCCGGUACACAGGUGGUGCAUGGUUGUCGUCAGCUCGUGUCGUGAGAUGUUGGGUUAAGUCCCGCAACGAGCGCAACCCUUGUCCCGUGUUGCCAGCACGUUGUGGUGGGGACUCGCGGGAGACUGCCGGGGUCAACUCGGAGGAAGGUGGGGAUGACGUCCCAUCAUCAUGCCCCUUAUGUCUUGGGCUUCACGCCCGCUACAAUGGCCGGUACAGAGGGCUGCGAUAUCGUGAGGUGGAGCGAAUCCCUUAAAGCCGGUCUCAGUUCGGAUCGGUGUCUGCAACUCGACACCGUGAAGUUGGAGUCGCUAGUAAUCGCAGAUCAGCAACGCUGCGGUGAAUACGUUCUCGGGCCUUGUACACACCGCCCGUC
rnacentral:rRNA from 1 species